rnacentral:snRNA from 1 species
GGAUGUGAGGGUGAUCUGGCUGUGAAUUUUUCACCCAUUGAUUGCCAGGUUUGGUUUGACUGAUCUGACUGGCUAAGCUGGUGUUGCCCUCCUCCCUUACUGCUUCAUGUGUGUCCCUCCUGAAGGUGCAUGCUUGGUCAAAGAGGACGACCAAUCCCUGAUAGAGGAAGACUGUUCUUUGGUGAACAGUAUAUGAGUAGCCUCAUUUCCCUGCUGGAACCUCCAAACAAGCUCUCAAACUAAUUUUUUUAAAAAGACUGGGGGUGUAGCUUAGUGGUAGAGCACUUGCCUAAGUGCUUUCCCAG